rnacentral:rRNA from 1 species
UACAGAGGUCUCAAGCGUUGUUCGGAUUCAUUGGGCGUAAAGGGUGCGUAGGCGGCGCGGUAAGUCGGGUGUGAAAUCUCGGGGCUUAACUCCGAAACUGCAUUCGAUACUGCCGUGCUUGAGGACUGGAGAGGAGACUGGAAUUUACGGUGUAGCGGUGAAAUGCGUAGAUACCAUCAAGAACACCGAUUGCGAAGGCAGCUUACUAGCUGUAACUGACGCUGAGGCACGAAAGCGUGGGGAUCGAACAGG